UACGUAGGAGGCGAGCGUUGUCCGGAUUCAUUGGGCGUAAAGAGCACGCAGGCGGUUUGGCAAGUCGGAUGUGAAAACCCGGAGCUCAACUCCGGACCUGCAUCCGAAACUGCCCGACUAGAGGUAGGUAGGGGAGAUCGGAAUUCCUGGUGUAGCGGUGAAAUGCGCAGAUAUCAGGAGGAACACCGGUGGCGAAGGCGGGUCUCUGGGCCGAUACUGACGCUGAGGAGCGAAAGCGUGGGGAGCAAACAGG
rnacentral:rRNA from 1 species